UCGACCAACAGGGGCUUGGAUGU
rnacentral:sRNA from 1 species